GGGGACUGUUUUGUUUGGAUUUUUGUUAUUCUAGAAGGGAUGGCUCUUAAUAGUUUGGCCAGAAGCCUGAACUAAACAAACAACAGAGUAGGAAAGACUGCCUACCUACAGGGAUGAAAACUGAGACAGUAUCUGCAACCAAUGCCAGAGAGGGGACACGAGGCCUGAAGAAGUGAAAUGAUUUCCCUUACAUUUACACAACGAGCAAGUGGCAGAUCCAGUGUACAACCCAGACAUCCUGAAUCAGUCUUCUAUUUGAAGCACUAAGGCCACUCUGAUUCUUGGUAUUUGGUAGGAAACAGUUUUGGAGAUGAUGCAACUUGAUGUAGAAAGGGCAAGCCAAGCAUCUAUCAAACUGGAGACAACUGGAAAUCUAAAAAAGCUGUAAGCUGCCUCAUCAAUGAAAGUGUAUCAAUCACUUUGAACAGGGGAUAAUACCUCCACUGUAAGGAGACACUACAAGUUUUCUCCACAGACAGACAUCCAUGGAGGACAAGCUAGUAGGAACAAAUGUGAACAUGUUUCAGGAAAUACAUAUUGGAAACAAUACACUGAGAUGACAUCAACACUGCAAUAUGCUGGAGAGGUGAGAGAAAUAAAGACUGACUUCCCUAUAUAAAGACAAUUCCUUCCAGGAAAACAGGACAGACUUUUUGUGAGAAUAGGAAAAGCAGGUCUCUUCUGAGCAGUGUGUCAUGAACAAGGGAGACAGAG